GAGUUUGAUCAUGGCUCAGAACGUACGCCGGUGGCACGCCUAACACAUGCAAGUCGAACGAAGUAGCAAUACUUAGUGGCAGACGGGUGAGUAACAUGUAGGUAUCUACCCUUUGGCCUGGAAUAACACGAGGAAACUUGUGCUAAUACCGGAUAAGUCUUUACGGAGAAAGCUUUAUGCACCAUUGGAUGAGCCUGCACUUGAUUAGUUUGUUGGUGGGGUAAUGGCCUACCAAGACUUUGAUCAAUAGCUGAUUUGAGAGGAUGAUCAGCCACAUUGGGACUGAGACACGGCCCAAACUCCUACGGGAGGCAGCAGUGGGGAAUCUUGCACAAUGGAGGAAACUCUGAUGCAGCGAUGCCGCGUGAGUGAAGAAGGCCCUUGGGUUGUAAAGCUCUUUCGUCGGGGAAGAAAAUGACUGUACCCGAAUAAGAAGGUCCGGCUAACUUCGUGCCAGCAGCCGCGGUAAUACGAAGGGACCUAGCGUAGUUCGGAAUUACUGGGCUUAAAGAGUUCGUAGGUGGUUGAAAAAGUUGGUGGUGAAAUCCCAGAGCUUAACUCUGGAACUGCCAUCAAAACUUUUCAGCUAGAGUUUGAUAGAGGAAAGCAGAAUUUCUAGUGUAGAGGUGAAAUUCGUAGAUAUUAGAAAGAAUACCAAUUGCGAAGGCAGCUUUCUGGAUCAUUACUGACACUGAGGAACGAAAGCAUGGGUAGCGAAGAGGAUUAGAUACCCUCGUAGUCCAUGCCG
rnacentral:rRNA from 1 species